AGGGCACCACCAGGAGUGGAGCCUGCGGCUUAAUUUGACUCAACACGGGAAAUCUCACCAGGCCCGGACACCGGAAGGAUUGACAGAUUGAGAGCUCUUUCUUGAUUCGGUGGGUGGUGGUGCAUGGCCGUUCUUAGUUGGUGGAGCGAUUUGUCUGGGUUAAUUCCGAUAACGAACGAGACUCUGGCCUACUAACUAGACGUUGGAUCAUUUAUGGUCCUUCGCUGCUUCUUAGAGGGACGGGGCGGCGUUCAGCCCCCACGAGAUGAGCAUUACAGUCUGGUGAUGCCCUUAAGAUGUUCUUGGGCUGCACGCGCGGCUAACAACUGAAAGAAAUCCAGCGUGUGGUAUCCCUGUCGAAAAAGAACUUGGAAAACCCGUUGAACCUUCCUUCCUGGUUGGGAAUUGGAAUUGAAAUAUUUCCCCCUGAGAGAGAAUCUCAGAUGGCGCCGAGACUAGAGCUGCGCCGAAUACAGCGCUGCCUUGAACACGCGCCGUGUAUACAAUAAAGGAUUUAAG
rnacentral:rRNA from 1 species